GGGGUUGUGGCUCAAUGGCAGAGCGCUUGCCUGGCAUGUGUGAGGCACUGGGUUCAAGUCUCAGCACCA
rnacentral:tRNA from 1 species